rnacentral:rRNA from 1 species
AACGAACGCUGGCGGCAUGCCUAACACAUGCAAGUCGAACGAGAUCUUCGGGUCUAGUGGCGCACGGGUGCGUAACGCGAGGGAAUCUGCCCUUUGGUUCGGAAUAACAGUUGGAAACGACUGCUAAUACCGGACGAUGACGAACGCCCAAGGAUUUAUCGCCAGAGGAUGAGCCCGAGUAGGAUUAGCUAGUUGGUGUGGUAAAGGCGCACCAAGGCGACGAUCCUUAGCUGGUCUGAGAGGAUGAUCAGCCACACUGGGACUGAGACACGGCCCAGACUCCUACGGGAGGCAGCAGUGGGGAAUAUUGGACAAUGGGCGAAAGCCUGAUCCAGCAAUGCCGCGUGAGUGAUGAAGGCCUUAGAGUUGUAAAGCUCUUUUACCCGGGAUGAUAAUGACAGUACCGGGAGAAUAAGCUCCGGCUAACUCCGUGCCAGCCGCCGCCGUAAUAC